rnacentral:rRNA from 1 species
GGCGGACGGGUGAGUAAUAUAUAGUUAACCUGCCCUCGAGAAAGGAAUAACAGUUGGAAACGACUGCUAAUGCCCUAUAUGCCUUUAAGACAUAAGUCUGCAAGGGAAAUGCUUUUGUGCUCGAGGAUGGGACUGUACGGUAUCAGAUAGUUGGUGGGGUAAUGGCCUACCAAGUCAAUGACGCCUAACUGGUUUGAGAGGAUGAUCAGUCACACUGGAACUGAGACACGGUCCAGACUCCUACGGGAGGCAGCAGUGGGGAAUAUUGCACAAUGGAGGAAACUCUGAUGCAGCAACGCCGCGUGGAGGAUGACACAUUUCGGUGCGUAAACUCCUUUUAUAUAGGAAGAUAAUGACGGUACUAUAUGAAUAAGCGCCGGCUAACUCCGUGCCAGCAGCCGCGGUAAUACGGAGGGCGCAAGCGUUACUCGGAAUCACUGGGCGUAAAGAGCGUGUAGGCGGAUAGAUAAGUCAGAAGUGAAAUCCUAUGGCUCAACCAUAGAACUGCUUUUGAAACUGUUUAUCUAGAGUGUGGGAGAGGUAGAUGGAAUUUCUGGUGUAGGGGUAAAAUCCGUAGAGAUCAGAAGGAAUACCGAUUGCGAAGGCGAUCUACUGGAACAUAACUGACGCUGAGACGCGAAAGCGUGGGGAGCAAACAGGAUUAGAUACCCUGGUAGUCCACGCCCUAAACGAUGUUCACUAGUUGUUGUGAGGCUUGACCUUGCAGUAAUGCAGUUAACACAUUAAG